CCUACGGGAGGCAGCAGUGGGGAAUUGUUCGCAAUGGGCGCAAGCCUGACGACGCAACGCCGCGUGGAGGACGAAGACCUUCGGGUCGUAAACUCCUGUCGAGUGGGACGAACGGCCCGCGACCUAAUACGUCGCGGGAGUGACGGUACCGCUAAAGGAAGCCCCGGCUAACUCCGUGCCAGCAGCCGCGGUAAUACGGGGGGGGCAAGCGUUGUUCGGAAUUACUGGGCGUAAAGGGCUCGUAGGCGGCCAACUAAGUCGGACGUGAAAUCCCUCGGCUUAACCGGGGAACUGCGUCCGAUACUGGAGGGCUCGAAUCCGGGAGAGGGAUGCGGAAUUCCAGGUGUAGCGGUGAAAUGCGUAGAUAUCUGGAGGAACACCGGUGGCGAAGGCGGCAUCCUGGACGGUGACUGACGCUGAGACGCGAAAGCGUGGGGAGCAAACAGGAUUAGAUACCCUGGUAGUCCACGCUGUAAACGAUGAGCACUAGGUGUCGCGGGUAUUGACCCCUGCGGUGCCGCCGCUAACGCAUUAAGUGCUCCGCCUGGGGACUACGGCCGCAAGGUUAAAACUCAAAGGAAUUGACGG
rnacentral:rRNA from 1 species